GUCCAAUAGCCCAAAUACUAUUAAGUAUUCACGUUGUUUGUGGGGUUUGAAAUGCCGAUCUUCACAUAAAUUUUACACCAUUUUUUCACUUGGCCAAUUGCCCCAUUUAAUAAUUUCUUUCAAGUAAUAUAUAUCUAACAGUAUUCACUAUAGACAUCUGUUUCGCGCGGGUUAGUCGCUAACAAUUAAAAGGGAUCAGACGAUUGUGUAAGGGACAAACCUCUUGAGACAAAGUCCCAAAAAUGGGUGUUCUUUUAUUGGUGAUGACUUUACAAUUGGAAAUUAAAAACAGAAUGCCUCCAAGGAGCGCAAGCACACGAGUUACUGAAAAAAGUGUUUAAAUCUAAGUUAAGGAAAUUAAAAUUACAUGUUCUCUGUUCGAGAGUUUUUGAUUCGGUCCUUUGCUCUAUGUCUUUUCUCCCUUUUAUACUUCAUGGACGAUCUCUUUGUGAUCAACCACCUAAAAACUGCUUGAUCGUUCUGCAACUGCCCACUUUUCUCAUAAUGGCCAGCUUGUCAUGAAAACCAUCUUAUUUAACUGCUGUCAUUACUCUUCGUCGUUCAAACGUUUUCGAUUGAAUUUCUUGAAUCGUGGAACGUGAUGGGGUUGCUUUAAUAACUGCUUUGAUAACUGCACUUCUUGAUAACCACAACGCUUUAUGUUUGUUAAGACUUUGGGCGACUUGAAGUUUUGGCGAGAAUAUAGUAAUAGCUCUGGGCGACUUGCAAUCUUGGGCGAUGGUAUUACCACGUUCUUGGGUCUCCCUAUUUGGGCCUUCAUCUUGAAUUAUUUGAUUGGGCUUCGUUUUUUGGGCUAUCUGAUUUGGGGAUUCUCCAAUUGGGCUCAUUCCUUGGGCCGUUCGAUUUGAGCUGAAUUUUUAUGUGUCAACAAUUACCACCCAAUAUGGUAGAAUUAAUAAUCAUUAUUAAAUUUUGCCAUAUUCACUUUGUUUCAAGCAACAUUCGAGAUUUUCAAGAAUUUCAAUCAUUGUUUUCUUCCAUAACUUGAAAAGGUGCGUCGUUUUGCAAACCCUUAUAACCCCCAAACACGCCAUUUCACUGCACCACUAAAUCACGCCUCAAAUUUUUCGCGUCUCUUCCAUGAUUUACUGUUCAUCUUUUGCUUCCCUGCUACGUAACCCUGAAAAACUUCGUUCCAUCUCAAAUGGCUACUUCACAAUCUCAAGCUGGCGACUCCUUUAGUUUUGAUGACUUUCAGAAACUUCUGAGUCGUCCAUACACAACUCCGAGUUUUCUCGCGCCUGUCGAUGUUGAACGCAAUGAGUUCUACUUAGGUCCUUUCUUCAACAAUGCAGAGGCAGUUGAACAGGCGGCGGUGGGUCAACUGUUUCUCUGUACUCAAGGCCCUCCAUUUCUAAACUCUCUGCCGCUGGGGCCACUUCGCGAAAGAGGUAUUCGCACUUGGCCUAAAUUUGAUGUAACUUUCCGUAUGUGGCAUGCUCGUCUUGUGGGUCAUGGCCCUACUAAGACACUUUUUGAUAGCGUUAAGAUUUCUGAUUUGUUAGAAAUCUCUAUUCGCCCCCCUACUUUUGAUUCAGCACUCUUUUCGAUUGCUUUGAGUUUUUGGUCUUCCGAGUAUAAUACCUUUAUUUUCCCUCUUGGCCCCAUGUCUAUCACUUUAAGGGAUGUUGGGGCCCUGGUGAAUCCACCACUUUUGGGCGAUAUCAUUUUUCCUGGUAUCUUGGUUUCUGGUGGUGCCCUAAAGUUUGGUAAAAACUACACCGAAUCUUAUUCAAGCCUGCAAACCCUUCACAAUCAUUCGAGCGUUGAGCCUUCCCAUAUUGAGCGAGUGGCCUUUCUUCAAGUUUGGCUUUGUAAAUAUGUUUUGUGUGUGCCAAGCAUAAAGCCCUCCCUGAUUUAUUUACCUAUAGCGCACGAAUUGGCGCGUGGCAGGCUUUUGAAUUUAUGUUCUUUCUUUUUGGCUGUCCUUUAUAGAGGCAUGACCUCUUUUCAAACUCAAUUGAAGAAUGGUGCAUCUCCCACUGGCAGUGGACCUCUUUGGCUCACUCAACUGUGGUUGAGAUCCUAUUUUUCAUUGCUCGGUGCUCCAUCAAUCUCUCGCUCCUCUGCUAGCUGUUAUGGACUAGCCAUGGAGCCCUUGGCUUCUGUAAAUAUGUCCAGAAGGGACAUUUUUUCAUUCUUUUAUUCUUUGGAUUCAAUCUCUUCCUUUUUCUCCUUUUUUGACUCCAAACUAUGUACAUCCCCCUCCACUAUAGACAGCGCGAGCACCUCCCUGCUCAUUUGAAUCCAAUUUUUAACCGGGAGGGAGCUAUUUCAUGAUAUUUUGACUGGGACUAAUGCCAAGGCAGGGGUAAAAAUUUAUUCUCCCCAAUUUUUUGCUCGCCAGCUUGGUUUCGGCCAAACUUGGCCUGUUCCUCCUUACUAUUCAAGGAACUUAAUUGACCGUUUUCAUACUAUUAAUAAGACAGAGGCAGAGGUUAUAAAUGUUCGCAAUCUUCUUUUAACCAGCUAUUUCUCAUUAGCCCCCUUCAAUUCUAGCUACGCCAUUCAUCAUCUUUUUGAACAGCUCUGGCCGUCAGUGAAGCUCAGAUUAUUUGCGACUGAUGUCAAUUGUGCCUUUCAUUCACUAGACCAGCCGAGCAUUUCUUCCCCUCCUCCUGUUUUAGUCACUCCUUUGUCCAUUCGGAGUCCUUCUCCUCCUCCUCGUGCUAAACAGUCUGCUCGUCCAUCUUCUUCUCUCCCUACCAAGCCUACUACAGCCAAGAGUGCCCCAAGCCGCAAACGGCCAGCCUCAGCAUCUCCCAUUCUGGAGGAUGAUGUUGAUGAUGAUGAUGAUACCCCUCUUAUCAUCAGGAGGAAGGUAAUUAAAUUGUCUACUCACAAGCAUACUUUUCCAUUCUUGAAACUUUUUUGUGUGCUGAUGAUUUUUUGGACUACUCAGAAAAGUUUAGCCUCUCCUUCAAAGGCUUUGGCAUCGACAGCUCCGCUCCAUCAUCCUCCGCUGAGGCUGCUUCAUCCAAACCGGUUGGUGAGUGAACUACGCUUAAAGAGACAUCCUCAAUCCCAGAAUCCUCAUCACAACCCAUAGAUGAGCCACCUCCUUCCCAAGGCGUCAACCCCCCAAAUAUCGAAGCAGAAGGUAAUUCAGUUUUUUGAUGCCUUACCUUUGCUUGUACUAUUGAUUUCUGAUUUGUUGCUCUUGAGUUUUGCAGAUACUCCUAUGAGUCUGCCCGUUGUGGCAACAUCUUCUCACUCAGAUAAGGGGAAGUCCUCACGAAUGGAGGAGUCAUUGAUGGCAGACUUGGCUGAGGACAUGCCAUCUUCUAGAAUUGUUGAUGAGGUAAUCUUUGCUUCACUUUUAUUUCUAUCUUGUUCGUUGUAGUGAGAAUCUUUAAUAUUGGUAAUUUUCUUUGCAGGAUACUGACAAGAUUGUGCGUUCUAUCCAAGACUUGUUCGCUUCUUAGGGGCGAGUCAAGACGUCUCGCCCUGCUCCAUCUAAUCAUCCUGCUGCUUCUUCAGAGGAAGAUUUGAAGUUCCUCAAGCAGUCGAUAUUUAAGUACGUGUCCUUCAUGGAUAUGGACAUUGGUAGGGCUAGUGCUGCCAGACACAAGGAUAAACUUGAGCAUUUGAAUGCGAAGUUGGAGCAAGCACUGACGCUUCCGUCGCUCAAUCUUUCUGCCGAUUUUAAAGUGACGUUGAAGGUCAUUCACUCCGAGGUCCUUUCUUUGCUGGCCAAGAAUGCUGUACUAAAGGCCAAAAGUACUCAAUAUCUUCAAGCCGUAUCUGAGAAAGAGUCUUUGCAUAUGGAGAUCAACAAGGCUGAGGACGAGUUGAAAGAAAUCUCUUCCGAAGUCAUGGUUGAAGACUCUUUGAUGGUUAAUUUGGCUGCUCAGAUGAAGGAAUUUCAAGCCAAAAUGGAUGACUGCAAGGCGAGAAUGGCUGCUAAAAAGCGCAACGCCUCCCAGGGAAUUGAGCGAACUAAGUCCUUGGUUGAGCAGUACAAGAAGUUGGAAGUUGAUGAUGAUGUCGUGGCCGAAUUGAACAUCACUUUCUCUCGGCAGAACGAGGAUUGGGAAAAACUUAGGGAACGAAUUCGGUCAAUGUGGGGUGGACUGUAAUUAAGACAUAUGAUGCCUUUUUUCUUUUGUAAUUUGAUUUUCUCUUUUUAACUUUGUUCAUCAUUAAUGAACAUAUAUAUUAAUUUCUUGUACAUUUAUUUGACGUUUGUUUUUUAGUCGUCAAUUCUUCAAGUAUUUAACUGCUUUGUGCUAAAAAUCUUACCCAUUUUCUUUUGAUAUUUCCAUCACUUUUUCCAAAACUUUGGGCUAUUUAAUUCCAUUUACUAGGCAGAAUGUGGCUGCUCAUAUUCCGUCUCUUCAUCCCCACCCCCCUAUAAAUGCACGGAUGCUUCACAUUUUCUUCCAUCUUCAUCUUCAUUUUCUUCUUCGAAACCAAUUUGCUGCCAUUAUUUGGCACUCCGACAAUCAAUCCGAUCCAAAACCUUCGUUUUUUCUAUAAAAAUGGAUUGUUUAGUCCGCCCAUUUUACUAUUUGCCUUGAUGUCACCUUUGGUGUGGGAGGUAUAGGAAAUAUUUUUUAGCCAGCAGCAAAGUUUUUACCAUCGAAGUUCUUCCCAUCGUCUCUUUGUCCUUUACAAGGAGUCGAUGAUAGAAGGCAAUUUUUGGGAUGCUUGCGGGCCACAUUGCUUGCUGAGAGUGCUUCUCAGUUUGCUUACCCGCCAUUGCAGCGAUGCAUUUAGGAAGGUGGUAAGCUCUAUCCACCUUCUUACUCGGCGAUCCCACCAUUGCAGCGAUGCAUUUAGAAAGGCAGUGUGAGGCUAGUCCACCCUCUUACUCAUCGAUCAACCGGGAGAUUAGCUUACUUUUGAUUGUAGUUUGUAGAGCAUCCAUUAUUUGUAUUUUUGCAUCUU
rnacentral:lncRNA from 1 species